CUGGAGUACUUGAAAUUACUUCAUUCUUUUGUGGACUCUGUGGGGGUUAUGAGCCCCCCACUCUCCAGGAGCUCCGUGCUCAAGUCCGCCCUGGGUCCAGACAUCAUCUGUCGGUGGUGGACGUCUGCAAUCACUGUGGCCAUCAGCUGGCUCCAGGGAGACGAUGCAGCUGUGCGCUCUCAUUUUACCAAAGUGGAACGCAUCCCCAAGGCCCUGGAAGUGACAGAGUGCGUAACCCUCCUUGGCCACUCACUUGCUUCUCUCCAGGGGAAUCUUGUUUGAGUUAGCAGGAGCAAACUGGACUGGGUGGGCGUGUUGGGGUGAAGGGUCAGGACUGCAUGACAGGUGGGCGGCUAGAAAAGUCGGGGGUGAGGGCACCAUGGAGAACUCAAGUUGGGCCAGCAGGUCCUCUGUGCAAGUGUCCUGCUCUGCACAACACGACAGUUGUCCCAGCAGCUGUCAGCACUGUGUCCGGGUCCUCCUCCCUGCAGCCUUCAUGGCGCCACAGGCUGAAAAGAAGAGACGAGAGCAGUGUGGCCCCCAGCAUCUUCAGAAGCUUUGUGGUGGAGGCAGGCACUGGUGGUUCACAAUCAGUGCAGAGAGGCCACUGUUGCCCCCAAAACUCAUGUGCACU
rnacentral:lncRNA from 1 species